UGGCUGGAGUUCAUACGUGUACUCCUCGGAUCUGCCAGGAAGGCGUAGUUCCAGGUGGAGAUACAGACCAUGAUGAAAAUCAAACAGGCUAACAUGAAAGACAGUGGGAAAUGGUUAGGGCUCUCACCCGGCUUUCCCAGUCACGUCUCGGCUGGAUGCCCUCAUCCUGCAGGUGAAACUUGGGGUCAGGGAACUGGAAGAGACUCCAUUUGAUAAUCUGAGAAAUUACUUCCUGGAGGAAAAAGACUUUCAGUUUGUUCCAGGGGAAGCUAAUGGAGCACUGUUACUUAUUUAACAUAAUUUUUAUAUGACAUAGAAUCAGAACUGUGUACGAUGAAUUUAGAAUAGAUGUUGUCUUGCUUAAGCUUUCUAGACCCGAUGUGACUGUACCGUGUGGUUAAUUUCAUUAAUUCUCUAUGACUCUUAGCAAGUAAUUACCAUUCCAUUCACAUCUGCCCCUGAAACCUGGCCAUGUGCAAGUCUCUCUUGAAGUAUUUAUCUUGCUAAUCAAAAGGCAACAGACUGAAAUGAUGGCUUAAAACAGGGUGUUAUUUUCUUCACAUCUUUUCAAAAGAUCAUGUCUUUGAGCUGCAAGGAUGUGAAUUUCUCGAGCACAUCGAAGUAGCCUGGAUGGGGCAUGAGAGGAAGGAAGAGCUGGAUCUGUUCAGGGCUUGACUGGUCACAAGCCUCCUGGCCCUCAUGACAAACAGAUUCUUCUCUGGGUGUCAGUGUGAGAUAGCUGCAUUUUAUGAAUUUAGCAGCUUUAUAGCGUGUAUUACAGAAAAGUGCACGCACACUUUCCAAAAAUGUGUAGGCUUUUAUCAAAAUUUGACCUGAGGUGCACAUGUGGAGGUGAAGGAGCAAGAUGGUCUGAUACCUGUGCUGGGACAGAACCACUAGGUCCAGCCCACGAGCUGUCACCCAGGUGGGCGGCUUCUCCAUCACUCUGAAGUCGGUUCCCCUAGUCCCGCCCCCACACAAAACUCGAGAUUCCUGUGGUCUUCAUCCUGUCGUGAGAACUGUGGGUUUUGUGGGGAGUCCUAGCCAGAAGCCCUCGGGGCUCCCAGUGUGAAGUGUUUGGGGAGCCCUCUCCAGGGGAGCCCUGGCUACAGCCUUUAGUGCCUGCACCUCACCUGGAGGAGACAAAGCACCUCUCUCCUCGUCUUUCCUCUGCUCUCAGUGCCUGAUUCCCCAGAUCCUGGAAACAGCUAAAGUUCAAUGGAAGGGCUGAAAUAAACACAUCUUGUGUAUUCCCAGCCAAGGUGAUGGACAGCAGCGGCCUCCCUGGAGAGACUGUGGCUCGUGUAACCCUCACCAGGGUCAAGCAAGCGAGGCCAGAAGAUCAAAUUUCCCACCUUCAGAGGCUUGUGGCACUUCAGAGCUUCGAAGUAGAAAGUUUAGCAGGAAGCAGAAGUCUAGAAUGGCCCAGGGCACAGAUUUUAUCACCGUAAACCCCAAAACAGAGACAGCAUUUCUCUAUGCCACCCCCACCCGAACAAGCACCAGUUUGCACCAUCAGAAGGUUCCUAAGCAAAGAAAGUAUGAGAAUGGGUAAAGCCCAGGUGUCCCUGCAGUCCCUUGCUGACCUGUGAUAGCCCCCCCACCCCGGUCCCAUAGGUCUGCCACUGUUUCUCCCUGUCCUGGAUCCUCGGGCCUGAACUUGGCCAGUUACAGCAGAGCAGAUGAGGGGCACUCACCUGGUGCCUUACCCCAAGAGCAGCUUCCUAAUCCAGAAAGAGACAGACCAAAAAGAAGGAAGAAAGAAAGAAAAAUAAGCAGUCUUUUGUCUCUGAGAGCCUCUAAUUACUUUUAUUUUUCGAUGCAAGGCGAAAUUACCCUGAAAGAUAAAAGCGUAAAAUGUCAGGAUCCACAGAAGAUAAACUCGAGUCCCAAGCACGGUACGUGCCCUGGUGCACUCCGCGCCCGACAGAAUUCAGCAGGGAGAAUCCGUGUCCCUUGGUAAUUAUGCGCAUCCAUUAGCAUGGCAUCCAUGCUUUGUCGGAAGCCUUUGGUGACAGUCUCUCUCCAGAGAAGCACACAGCCUUGUGAUCUGCAGUUCCGUGGCCACAGUGUACCACCCCGAGGGAGAUGCCGCCGAUAACACCAUAUUAAAUGCAGAGUUUGUUGGGGGUUUUGUUGUUGUUUUUCAUCUCAGAUGCUGGCGCCGAGGCGCAGAAUGUGUAUUACCAUCUUACAGACACUGCUAACAAAAGCUGCCCUCACA